CCCAAUUAUAACAUAUGGCUCCUCAAUUUUGGGAACUAAGGUAUUUUCAUGUAUAAAUGCAGUCCACCACCGGGCCAUGAGAUUCUACCUUGGAACAGGAAAAUAUACACCAAAUGUGGCUGUUUAUGGUGAAAUGGGUUGGAAGCCAAUCCUUAUAGAUCAGUGGACUUCAGUAUGCGCGGUGUUGCACCCAUAAGACUCGAAACGGGUCGUUACGAAGGUUUAACAGAAAAUCAACGAUUGUGCCCAUUUGGUUGUAAUGCUGUAGAAUCAGAGAUACAUGUUAUUCUAUGCUGUCCGCUUUAUACUGUUGAACGAAGACUUCUAUUAGAAAAGGUUACUUCUAUAUUUG
rnacentral:lncRNA from 1 species